CUUCGGAAGGCUUGCAAUCAUCCUUUGCUCAAUUACCCUUAUUUUAGCGACUUUUCCAAGGAUUUCCUUGUUAGAUCCUGUGGGAAGUUGUGGGUUCUGGAUAGGAUCCUCACAAAACUUCAAAGGACAGGGCAUCGGGUACUACUUUUUAGUACAAUGACAAAGCUCCUUGAUAUAUUGGAAGAGUACUUGCAAUGGCGAAGGCUGGUAUACAGGAGGAUUGAUGGAACAAC
rnacentral:misc_RNA from 1 species